AUGAAUACGUCUCAUUGGACAGCCAGUGAAAAAUGCGCUCUUUUUUAAAUUUAACCUUUAUUUAACUAGGCGAGUGUGUUAAGAAUACAUUCUUAUAAUGACGGACUACCCCGGCGACCCUGUGCCAAUUGUGCACUGCCCUAUGGGUCUCCCAAUCACGGUCGGAUGUGAUACAGCCUGGAAUCGAACUAGGGACUGUAGUGACGCCUCUUGCCCUGAGACGCAGUGCCUUAGACCUCAGCGCCACUCGGGAGCAUUACAUCAAAUGUGAAAAUAUCUGAUAAGAUAUUAGGAACAUGAUCAAGUUGCUGAUCAUAUGAAUGUUGCUUGAAUAAUCUUCAUCGAACAAACAAUGUCGAACCAAAAAUGAAAUGUAUUUUGUACCAGCAAUUUUUGCUGACAUCACACCGCGUCAACUGCAUCCCCUCGCCGCUUUGUACAGCGGCACUGUUCCCACAAGAGCUUAGCGGCAGCGAGACGACUCAUUUGCAUAGCAUCAGUCAGCCUAGGAACAAGGACAAGCUGAGCUGCUGCGCUUGUCUGACGAAGCAGCAACAAGAACCAGAAAAAUAUACAUUUGAGCACCAUAAAUGGCGGUCAAUCCGCGAUAUGGUUGUCGGAGCAUGGAAGCUCCAGAAGAUGUGUCGGUCCGUGAACAGCUUUUCCACGACCGAGUCAGAGAGACCAUAGACCUGAGCCCUAGGACAAUGCCUCAGGACUACCUGGCAUGAUGACUCCUUGCUGUCCCCAGUCCACCUGGCCACGCUGCUGCUCCAGUUUCAACUGUUCUCCCUGCGGCUAUGGAACCCUGACCUGUUCACCGGACGUGCUACCUGUCCCAGACCUGCUAUUUUCAACUCUCUAGAGACAGCAGGAGCAGUAGAGAUACUCUUAAUGAUCGGCUAUGAAAAGCCAACUGACAUUUACUCCUGAGGUGCUGACUUGUUGCACCCUCGACAACAACUGUGAUUAUUAUUAUUUGGCCAUGCUGGUCAUUUAUGAACAUUUGAACAUCUUGGCCAUGUUCUGUUAUAAUCUCCAACAGGCACAGCCAGAAGAGGACUGGCCACCCCUCAUAGCCUGGUUCCUCUCUAGGUGUCUUCCUAGGUUUUGACCUUUCUAGGGAAUUUUUCCUAGCCACCGUGCUUCUACACCUGCAUUGCUUGCUGUUUGGGGUUUUAGGCUGGGUUUCUGUACAGCACUUGAAGAUAUCAGCUGAUGUAAGAAGGGCUAUAUAAAUACAUUUGAUUUGAUUUAAACAGAGUAACAGCAGCGUAAAAAUAUGGGUGGGGGGUUGGGGUCAAUGCAAACAGUCUGGGUAGCCAUUUGGUUAGCUGUUCAGGAGUCUUAUGGCUUGGUGGUAGAAGCUGUUAAGAAGCCUUUUGGACCUAGACUUGGCACUCCAGUACCGCUUGCCGUGCGGUAGCAGAGAGAAUAGUCUAUGACGAGGGUGGAUGGAGUCUUUGGCAAUUUCUAGGGCCUUUCUCUGACACCGCCUGGUAUAGAGGUCCUAGAUGGCAGGAAGCUUGGUCCCAGUGAUGUAUUAGGCUGUACGCACUACCCUCUGUUAGGGCUGGGCGAUAUAUCAAGUUUUUUAGAUAUAUUCAAGUUUAUGUUUUAGCGCGAUAUGGAAAAUGCCUGUAUCGCAAGAAUCAACGUUCUGUUAUAAUGUUGUAACGUUUUACAAAUGCAGCCUCUCACUGUCAGCCCAAUGUCGAAUCAUGUCCCAAUUACGUGACAACACGUGCACAGAGGUCAUCCACCCAUCACAACCCUAGACAACCUUUCACAAAUAGUAACCACGCCGGAAAGUGUAGCGAAGGUAAAAGUUCCACCAAAAUGGAAAGUGAGUGGGCCAGCUCAGCCUCUCGUGAGGAUGAAAUCAUCCCCGAAAAGGGCAACAAUGUUUUUUCAGUAAUAUAGAAGUGGUUCGGGUUUAAGAGGUCUGAUGUUCAGCAAACGAAUGUCCUGUGCAAAAUGUGUUGAAAGACAAUUAGAACGAAACGCCUUCAACCAACAACCCCUUCAAUCACCUGCAACUGAAACACGCCGGUGGAAUGUGUGAGACUACGCAUUGCCGCUUCCAGUCGCCCGAUUCCCAAAACGUCUGCUAAAAGACUACCAUAGCCACAUCCUUUUCAAACGUAAUCCCUUAUGACAAGAAAAGUUUGAGGUGGAAGGAGAUAAUGGAUGCAGUGACCUAUUACAUAGCGAAAGAUAUUGUAGCGACCCGCACAGACAGCUGUGUGUUAUGUGUUAGGCUAGUAGGUGGUUGCGUUGUACUGACCAGCACCCAGUGUUCGCGGUGUCUGACAUUUUUUUAUAUUUUUUUAUUUAUUUAACCUUUAUUUAACCAGGUAGGCUAGUUGAGAACAAGUUCUCAUUUGCAACUGCGACCUGGCCAAGAUAAAGCAUAGCAGUGUGAACAGACAACAACACAGAGUUACACAUGGAGUAAACAAUAAACAAGUCAAUAACAUGGUAGAAAAAAAGAGAAUCUAUAUACAAUGUGUGCAAAAGGCAUGAGGUAGGCAAUAAAUCGAAUAAUUACAAUUUAGCAGAUUAACACUGGAGUGAUAAAUCAUCAGAUGAUCAUGUGCAAGAAGAGAUACUGGUGUGCAAAAGAGCAGAAAAGUAAAUAAAUAAAAGCAGUAUGGGGGGUGAGGUAGGUAAAUUGGGUGGGUAGUUUACAGAUGGACUAUGUACAGCUGCAGCGAUCGGUUAGCUGCUCGGAUAGCAGAUUUUUAAAGUUGUUGAGGGAGAUAAAAGUCUCCAACUUCAGAGAUUUUUGCAAUUCGUUCCAGUCGCAGGCAGCAGAGAACUGGAAGGAAAGGCGUCCAAAUGAGGUUUUGGCUUUAGGGAUGAUCAGUGAGAUACACCUGCUGGAGCGCGUGCUACGGGUGGGUGUAGCCAUCGUGACCAGUGAAUGAUUGACAUGUCAAUCAACCUGCUAUCUGCCAAUCACGGGAAUGCCUGGAAUGUUCUGAUGCCGGGCAUCCUUGCGGUUGGCGGAGUGGCGUGGAGGGGGGUUGGGCAGGGGGAUGGAGCAUUGGAAGUUAAGACCAAGUUUAGCCUUUGUUCUCUCUCAUACGUCUGGGCUUCACAAGAGAAGGUCAUGAUUGGCUUGUGGGUUAUCUGUCCUUCAUUUGGCGUGGGCUACGGCCAAACAGUAGCCUGUGUAAAGUUGGUUUAAUAAACCGUCAAUUCGCAAACUCAAUCCUCUGUCUGGACAAUUGUUCAUUUAUGAUCUAGUCAGGUCAUUACAAUAUGGUUCCAAUCUUUACAGUAGAAAAGCCAGGCUUAAAAAGCCGUUAUUUACAGUUGACCACAAAUAUCAGCUGCCAAGCCACAAGUAUUUCACGGAAGAAGCCCUGCCGCGAUUAUAUACUGCUACCCGCGAAAGAGUCGCAGAGAAGCUGGCUAGUGUUUCUUAUUUUUCCACCACAGCUGAUCUAUGGUCGAGCAGAACGUCAGAGCCACACCUAAGUUUGACAUUCCACUACAUAAAUGAAGACUGGAAAUUGCAAAAUGUCUGCCUCCAGACGUCUUACUUCCUCGAUGAUCAUACGGGUGAAGUAAAAGCCCAGGGCCUCAAAGAUUCUGGCAUCGUGGAAGAUGAGCGAAUACCGACAGGUGUGCGUGACAACUGACAGCAGGAGCAACAUGAUAAAAGCAUUGCGCUUGAACAACUGGACCCGCCUGCAGUGCUUUGGGCACAGGCUUCACCUCACCAUCGGUAAGUGUGACAUUUGAUAAUUAAAGUGCAUUCAAAAAUGUUAUGUUCAGGCCAGCUGUAGGCUAAUGUGUUAGUAGUUGUGUCAUUCUGCCAAUCCAAUAGCAAAUAACCACAGGCUGUUUUAAUUAUAACAACAAAUUAACUAAAUUAAUACAUUUUCAAUCAAAAUUAUUACAUAAAUUACAUAUUCAAAUAGCUAGUGGUCAAACAUUUGUAAGCAAUAGAAUAGACGUGUGGGUGUGUGUUGUUCAUUUGUUUGGCACAAAUAAUUAAUAUAUUUUGUAUAUUAAUAAAGAUAAUUCAGUUAAGAAUUAUGUCUUGGCCUUUUUUAAUUUGUUUAGAGAAAAACAAGAAAUCGAGAUAUAUAUUGUGAAUCGUCCAAAUAUUUGAAAGAAAUUGAGAUAUUACCUUUAGGCCAUUUCGCCCCCAGCCCUACUACCCUCUGUAGUGCGUUGCAGUCGGAGGCCGAGCAGUUGCCAUACCAGACUAGAGGUCGACCGAGUAUGAUUUUUCAACGCCGAUACCGAUACCGAUUAUUGGAGGACCAAAAAAGCCGAUACCGAUUAAUCAGACAAUUUUUUAAAAUUUAUUUGUAAUAAUGACAAUUACAACAUUACUGAAUGAACACUUAUUUUAACUUAAUAUAAUGCAUCAAUAAAAUCAAUUUAGCCUCAAAUAAAUAAUGAAACAUGUUCAAUUUGGUUUAAAUAAUGCAAAAACAAAGUGUUGGAGAAGAAAGUAAAAGUGCAAUAUAAGAAAGCUAACGUUUAAGUUCCUUGCUCAGAACAUGAGAACAUAUGAAAGCUGAAGGUUUCUUUUAACAUGAGUCUUCAAUAUUCCCAGGUAAGAAGUUUUAGGUUGUAGUUGUUAUAGGAAUUAUAGGACUAUUUCUCUCUAUACCAUUUGUAUUUCAUUAAGCUUUGACUAUUGGAUGUUCUUAUAGGCACUUUAGUAUUGCCAGUGUAACACACACCUACACACAGGUCAGGGCCACACACAAACACAUAUGGGUGUCCAGACAUUACUGUACUGCGAUAAGGGUUAGCUACAUAUAAGGGUUAGUUACAUAUUUGAUAUUUCUAUGUGUCAUAUAGGAAUGCAGCUUCUUUUUGUAAAAUCUCUUUUUCUCUCUCACUCUUUCUCUCUGUCUUUCUCUAGGCUGUGGCUCUGUACUUUCACUCUCUGUCUCUGUGGGCGCUGUUCUAUUCCUACAUCUCUCCAUCUUCUCCAAUGAGGUCCUGCACUCCUUCCCACACAGCUACUACAUGCAGUGGCUUAACAGAUCUCUUAUACAUGGUAAACACACACAAGCCCCUACAUGAACAUACUCACAUAGAUAGUUACGCUGACACACAUUGUCAGACCCACCUAAUGUAUGCUGACAUUUUGUACGUGGUUUGAGGUCCUCUGCUGUUGAAAGAUUAUCUUAGUGCGCAUGCUUCACAUAUUUUAUUUUUAUUCCUAUUGAAUUUGUUCAGAGAAAAAUGACAGUCCACCCCAGGUUACAAGGGUGCAAAUAAGACCUUUACUCAGUGAUGAUGAUAAGACAGAUAUGAUAUGAGCUCCAGCAGAUAUGAGCUCCUCAGAACCUCAACUUCUAAAACGGACUGUUAGUGAAGUUGAAUCAGAAGACAAUAGCAUGUAGACAGAACAGGAGGCUGCUAAUAAUUGCUGGAAUGGAGUGAAUGGAAUGAUAACAAAUAUAUGACAACUAUGUGUUUGAUGUGCUCGACACUAGAGGUUGACCGAUUUAAUCGGCAUGGUCAGGGUAUAUGCAACAGUUUGGGCUCGUUGUGAACUAUGAACUAAUUUGCCAGAAUUUUACAUAAUUAUGACAUGACAUUGAAAGUUGUGCAGUGUAUCAGCAAUAUUUAGACUUAGGGUUGCCACCUGUUCGAUAAAAUACGUAACGGUUCCGUAUUUCACUGAAAGAAUAAACGUUUUGUUUUCUAAAUUAUUGUUUCCGGAUUUGACCAUAUUACUGACCAAAGGCUCAUAUUUCUGUGGUUAUUAUUUUAUAAUUAAGUCUAUGAUUUGAUAGAGCAGUCUGACUGAGUGGUGGUAGGCAGCAGCAGGCUCGUAAACAUUCAUUCAAACAGCACUUGACUGCGUUUGCCAGAAGCUCUUAGCAACGCUUGAAUCACAGCUCUGUUUUUUCUGUUGUUUUUUUUCAAGGCUAUCAACUCCCGAGAUUAGGCUGGCAAUACUAAAGUGCCUAUAAGAACAUCCAAUAGUCAAAGGUAUAUGAAAUACAAAUGGUAUAGAGAGAAAUAGUCGACACAUCAUAAUUCCUAUAAUAACUACAACCUAAAACUUCUUAACUGGAAAUAUUGAAGAACUGGGAAUAUUGAACCACCAGCUUUCAUAUGUUCUCAUGUUCUGAGCAAGGAACUUAAACAUGAGCUUUUUUACAUGGCACAUAUUGCACUUUUACUUUAUUCUCCAACACUGUGUAUUUGCAUUAUUUAAACCAAAUUGAACAUGUUUCAUUAUUUAUUUGAGACUAAAUAGAUUUUAUUUAUGUAUUAUAUUAAGUUAAAAUAAGUGUUCAUUGUUCAUUCAUUAUUUUUGUAAUUGUCAUUAUUACAAAUAUAAAUAUAAAAAUCGGCCGAUUAAUCGGUAUCGGCAUUUUUUGGUCCUCCAAUAAUCGGUAUCUGUCACGCCCUGACCUUAGAGAGCCUUUUUAUUUUUCUAUUUGGUUAGGCCAGGGUGUGUUUAGGGUGGGCAUUCUAGUUUUUCGUUUUCUAUGUUGGCCUGGUAUGGUUCCCAAUCAGAGGCAGCUGUCUAUCGUUGUCUCUGAUUGGUGAUAAUUUUUAGGCAGCCUUUUCCCACCUGUUGUUUGUGGGAUCUUGUUUUUGUGUAGUGCCUGUGAGCACUCCAUUUCUUCACGGUUUGUUUUUUUCUUUAUUGUUUUCUGGUUUGUUUGUUUCUUUAUUGUUUUCUGGGAGUUUCAUUUAAAUAAACAUGUGGAACUCUACGCACGCUGCGCCUUGGUCCAAUCAUUCUAACGAUUGUGACAGUAUCGGCAUUGAAAAAUCAUAAUCGGUCGACCUCUACUCAAUACCAUUCAAUUUAUUCCGUUCCAUCUAUUACUAUGGAGGCAGACGGUAGCCUAGCGGUUAAGAGCGUUGGGCCAGUAACCAAAAGGUCACUGGUUCAAAUCUCAGUGCCGUCAAGGUGGAAAAAAAUCUGCUGUUCUGAACUUGAGCAAGGCAGUUAACAACUGCUCCCCGGUCGCCAAUGAUGAGGACGUCGAUCAAGGCAGCCACCCGCAGCCACCCAACCAGUUAAAAGCGGAAGACACAUUUCACUUGAAUGCAUUCAGUUGUGCAACUGAUUAGGUAUCCCCUUUCCCUUCGAGCCUGUGCUCCCCAAUUAAGGUAGAGAGAUAAAGCCUUUCACUGUCUAUAACACUGUCUGUCCCCAUCUCUAAAUGCAGGACUGUGGAAUCUAGUCUUCCUCUUCUCCAACCUCUCCUUGGUCUUCCUCCUGCCCUUUGCCUACUUCUUCACUGAGUCUGAGGGCUUCGCUGGAUCCAAAAAUGGUGUGAUGGCCCGUCUGUAUGAGACAGCAGUAGUCCUCUUCCUCCUGACCCUGCUGGUACUGGGGAUGGUGUGAGUGGCAUCAGCCAUACUUGAUGAUAAUAUGGCCAGUCUUUACGUAUGCCUCUGGGAUUAUCACACAUGUUCAGCAUCACAGGAAGCCUACUGGUCAAACCAAAGCUGCUGGAGGACCUUGACGAGACAUUGAGUUGUGCUGAGUUUGAAGAGGCCUCUUUACCCAGGAAACUUACUAGUUAGUCCCAUUACAUAACCAGGGUUGGGUAGGUUACUUUUGUUGGGUUCUGAGAAUAUGAAAUGUUACUUAUUCAUGUCACUGAUGGAGUGCUAAGGUUGAGGGUCUACAACAGAAGUUAAGGGUUAUAGGAGGAAGGUAUAUACUGUGUGCAACUAAGCUUGGAAUGUGUUGAGUGCAGGGAUGCGAUUACAUGUGGCAGACAUUGAUAAGGGGAGACGGGUGGAGAUCUUAGAAACUAACAAUGUCACUGAGGGAGAGAUGGUAAUGUAUAACAUUUACAUUAUGUCAGUGUAUGUAAUUGUUAGCCAUCAGAGAUCCUCUGGGAGGAGAAGAGACACAGUCUGGUAUCAAUAACCAUGACAGCCUUGAGUUGGGGUGGAGUGAGCACUUUGGGGUAGACACCAGUCUCAAUGUCAACAGUGAAGAGGCGACUCCGGGAUGCUGGCCUCUAGGUUCCUCUGUACAAUGUCUGUGUUCUUUUGCCCAUCUUAAUCUUUUAGUUUUAUUGGCCAGUCUGAGAUAUGGCUUUUUCUUUGCAACUCUGCCUAGAAGGCCAGCAUCCCGGAGUCACCUCUUCACUGUUGAGGUUGAGACUGGUGUUUUGCGGGUACUAUUUAAUGAAGCUGCCAGUUGAGGACUUGUGAGGCAUCUGUUUCUCAAACUAGACACACUAAUGUACUUGUUCUCUUGCUCAGUUUUGCACCGGGGUCUCCCACUACUCUUUCCAUUCUGGUUAGAGCCAGUUUGCGCUGUUCUGUGAAGGGAGUGGUACACAGCGUUGUACGAGAUCUUCAGUUUCUUGGCAAAUUCUCGCAUGGAUAGCCUUCAUUUCUCAGAACAAAAAUAGACUGACGAGUUUCAGAAGAAAGGUCUUUGUUUCUGGCCAUUUUGAGCCUGUAAUCGAACCCACAAAUGCCGAUGCACCAGAUACUCAACUAGUCUAAAGAAGGCCAGUUUUAUUGCUUAUUUAAUCAGAACAACAGUUUUCAGCUGUGCUAACAUAAUUGCAAAAGGGUUUUCUAAUGAUCAAUUAGCCUUUUAAAAUGAUAAACUUGGAUUAGCUAACACAACGUGCCACCAAAACACAGGAGUGAUGGUUGCUGAUAAUGGGCCUCUGUACGCCUAUGUAGAUAUUCCAUUAAAAAACAGCCGUUUCCAGCUACAACAGUCAUUUACAACAUUAACAAUGUCUACACUGUAUUUCUGAUCAUUUUGAUGUUAUUUUAAUGGACAAAAAUGUGCUUUUCUUUCAAAAUUAAGGACAUUUCUAAGUGACUCCAAACUAUUGAAUGGUGGUGUACAUAUAAAAUAAAAAUGAAUAGAUGCUUUUUCUAAACAAUCAUUGAAUAUUUCUCCUUAUGAUCUUGAUGAUUCAGGGAUCACCCGGUUUGAUCUGCUGGGAGACUUUGGUUGGUAUAUCUGGCUGGGAAACUUCGUCUUCCUGUAUAACGUACUGUUUGCCGGGCUGACCUCUGCGUGUCUAAUCAACACUCUCACAUGGACCGUACAUAGGGAACUCAUCAGAGCAUUUGGUAUUUGGGAGGUCACACAAACAUACACAGUUACGCAUACAUGUACGUAUGCUUGCUCGUACAUACACACACACACGCAUGCACACUUACACACGUUGUGAUCGGCUGAUUCACUAAUAUGGUCCUCUCUCUCUUCCAAGGGCUGCAUAUACCGCGAUUGACUGUGUCCCGCUCCACCAUCCCACUCAGGCUCCUAUUGGCUAAUGGACUCGCAAAGAUUCAGUGACACUUGAACAAGCUAAAGACCUGGGCUUACCAAAGUGAGCUUGCCAAAGAGCAGUGUCCCCAAAUAUUUGUCUGUAGUAAACUCUCUUUGAAAGAGAGAAGGGGAUUGACCUGUUUGCUGAUGGACGACUGGUGAUCCUGUUACUACUAAAAUGAGAAGAGGAGGAAACUCUGGACUUGGACCUCAGACAUGAUUAUACUUCAGAGUAUAGGUACAAGACAGAACCUGAGCCCUAGGACCAUACGUCAGGACUACCGGGCAUGACGACUCCCUGCUGCCCCCAGUCCGCCUGGCCUUGCUGCUAUUCCAGUUUCAACGGUUCUGCCUGCGGUUACGGAACCCCUACCUGUCCCAGACCUGCUGUUUUCAACUCUUAAUGAUCGGCUAUGAAAAGCCAACAGAUUUAUUCCUGAUUAUUAUUUGACCAUGCUUGUCAUUUAUGAACAUUUUGAAAAUCUUGGCUCUCUCUAAUCUUCUCCUUCUCUCUUUCUUUCUCUCGGAGGACCUGAGCCCUGGGACCAUACGUCGGGACUGCCGGGCGUGGUGGCUCCUUGCUGUCCCCAGUCCGCCUGGCCUUGCUGCUGUUCUGCCUGCGGUUAUGGAACCGCCACCUGUCCCAGACCUGUUGUUUUUCAACUCUUAAUGAUCGGCUAUGAAAAGCCAACUGAAUAUUAUUCAUGAUUAUUAUUUGACCAUGCUUGUCACUUAUGAACAUUUUUGAACAUCUUGGCAUAGUUCUGUUAUAAUCUCCACCCGGCACAGCCAGAAGAGGACUGGCCACUCCUCAUAGCCUGGUUCCUCUCUAGGUUUCUUCCUAGGUUUUGGCCUUUCUAGGGAGUUUUUCCUAGCCACCGUGCUUCUACACCUGCAUUCUAGCUGUUUGGGGUUUUAGGCUGGGUCUCUGUACAGCACUUCGAGACAUUAGCUGAUGUACGAAGGGCUAUAUAAAAUAAACUUGAUUGAUUGAUCGACAUCCCCGGUGACUUUUGCUAAAAUGUCUGCCAAUCUCAAAACAUCUUGAUCCUUGACUGGAAAGAACUCCACUGUCACGCCCUGAUCUGUCUUCACCUCCUCCAGGUGUCACUUAUUUUCCCCAGUGUAUUUAUCCCUGUGUUUCCUGUCUCUCUGUGCCAGUUUGUCUUGUAUGUUUUUAAGUCAACCAGCGUGCUUUCCCGUGCUCCUGUUUUCUAUUCUCUUUUUCUAGUCUCCCCGGUUAUGACCCUUGCCUUUUUUUUCUGGACUCCGUACCCGCCUUCCUGAACCUUCUGCCUGCCCUGACAUCGAGCCUGUCUGCCACUCUUUACCUCUUGGACUCAGAGACUCAGAAUCUGGUUUUGGCAUUUUGCCUGUCCAUGCCCAUUCUCUUGCCUACACCUUUUGGAUUAUAAAUAAACUACAAAGACUCUAACCAUCUGCCUCCUGUGUCUGCAUCUGGGUCUCGCCUUGUGCCCUUAUAUCCACAAGAACUUCAGCUCUGUGUACUUUUCUAGAUAUCGCUGUCUUUUCAUCUCUCUCUCUCCCUUUUUGCCUAUUGCGCUCUUGCACUUAUUACCUUGUGUAUUAUUCAAAAGAUUUAUUCUGCUGUGUCAUCUUGUGAACAUAAUUUCCCUUCUUACUGUUGUCCUCUAAUGGAAUGUUUAGGAAAUAAGCAGAUGUCUGCAUGGUGUCAAAAUAAGAGUAAAUCAGUUAACAGUAAUAAAAGUACAUUAACUCUACUUCAAUGCAUAUGGCCAAUUCUACUAUAUUACUCUUUUUAGUAUAUCAUUUUCAUUUACAUAUUUGUAUCACAACCUAUUUAAUAAGGACAUUUUAUUGUUGGAUUGAAAAGUUGGACAACAGUCUUCUAUGAAGAGAACAGAAACAAACACUGGAAACAAUGGCCUGGAACUUAAGACCAAGUUAAACUGUGAUGUGUGUGUUUGAAAAAGACUGUUUGUGUGUGUGUGUUUGAGUGCGUGCGUGCGUGGAUCUGUCUGUCAGUGUACAUUCAAUUUUUGCACAGCGUGUUGUGUACAUGCAUGGAGAUUUUUCUCCAAUAUUUUUCCAAGUUCCUUUCAUUUUGUAAAUUACGUUUUUCAAUUAUGAGUUUGUGUCCAUAGAUUUAUGUUGACCUCAAGUGAAUGUUCAUAUGUUAUUGUCUCACAGGGGUAAAAACACUCCUCAACCUCUCCUUAAUCAUACAAAUGUCAAAAUGUGUUGUCAUUUCAAUGCCAGAACAGUCAGCUACUACAUGUUCAAUUGUCUGUAUGUCUUGUUAAACUGUAUUCUUUACGAAGAUGUAUGAUUGUUAGCUAGCUAUAAAUGUGAACUCUGGUUAAAAGUAUAUGAAGAUUGUUUAAAACUGUGAUUAUCUAAACUGAAGAGUUUUGUAAGGACUCCUCUACUGGAACAAUACAUGUUUUUUUCAGUUUGUUUCUUACACCAUUGCUGAUUGUUUUGAUUUGAGCAUAGCACACCCACUGAGAAAAUAUAUUGAUUUGGCAACCCUGUUUCACUCCAAUCUGUAAGUUUGCCUGAAGUUUUUAGAGCCACAAAAGUAGGCUAGUCUUUAUACAAAUCCCUUCUCCCACACCAUCUGUUAUGUGUCUAUGUACCAAAUGGUAUGGUAAAGAUAAGUCUGUCAUCAUUUUAAAUAGUUUCUAUCUUCAAUUGUGUAAUUGAGGGGCUGCUAGGGCUACACAAAGAUGGCAUAUGUGUACUCAACCUAACAUAACUUUUUAAGCAGCUAUUUAACAGAUUUAGAUUUUGUUGUGGAGUGAUCACUUUCAACAUAACAAGGACCAUCGUACACGUUCAUGGUUGAUAGGGCCUGGGCCAUAAAAUAAGCAUAGGCCUAUUUAAAACUGAUAAAAGGUUCUCUGUGUGAUCCUCUGUAGCUCAAUUGGUACAGCUGGCGCUUGCAACGCCAGGAUAGGGGGUUAGAUUCCAGUGCUUGACUUGGGCGGAAGCUCAUCAGAGCUGAGUAGCGGCACCUCAAAUGUUCUACUGCUUAAGCUCCUGUUCCUGUUAUAGAAUAUUAGCUCAAACGUAUUGUGGAGCUCCUGCACCUAAAUAUAAACAGUACCAACACCCAAAAUGAGUACCGGCACCUAUUUCAGUCUAAGUCAAGUACUUAGAAUGUAUGCACACGUGAAUGUAAAUCGUUUUGGGUAAAAGCGUCUGCUAAAUGGCAUAUAUUAUUAUAUAUAUAUAUAUUUUUUUUUAUUCUGAAAAAUGAUGUAUAUGUUAAUAUUGUACGGUCAUUGAGCAUUUAAUAAUAAAAACUGCUGAACGUG